UUUCUUUCUUCCUUCUUUCCCUGCGUUUUGUUCUGUCUUUUUCUUGGCUGGGGUCGAAGAAGAAACAGGGGAAACAAAGAGAUUGAGAGAGAGAGAGGAUCAGCUUGAGUUGCAGAAACCACAAAGAAGACGAACUGCUAAGUGCACGGGAUCGUGGAGACUGAAACCUUGCACUCUGAAGUGUUGACUGAAUUUGCUAUCUCUGGAGGGUUUUCGCCAUGGGACCGCUGAUCCGGCGGUAUAUAAAUAGAACGCCUAGACCGCUGAUCCGGUGGAAUACAAAAAGGGACGUCUAGACCGCUGAUCCGGCAGGAUAUAAAAAGGGACGCCUAGACCGCUGAUCCGGUGGGAUACAAAAAUGAAUGCCUAGGCCGCUGAUCCGGCAGGAUAUAAAAUGGACUCCUAGACUCCUAUUGCCAGAGGAUAAUGGGCAGCCCCCGCUUAUGAGAUAUAGAUAUUGAGAGUUGAGAAUGAUAUGAAUGAGAUGUGCGGGGUAACGGUACCGUCAUAAUUCUGUUGCGAGAAAAUGCAACCCUAUGACUAUAUUGAUUGGUCGUGUUGUAUAUUAUUUGUCUGGUUUGAUUGCUAUAAAUGUGAUGAUUGUUGAGAUUAUUUAAAGUUGUUCUGUGGAAGCUGUGUUGCUUUCUGAAGCUUGAUGUAGUUAGUGUGUGCGUGUUAGGUGGUGCUGAGUUAAUAGUUAAUUCUAAUACUAUUAUAUGGUUAUAAAGAUAAUUGAUUGUUUACGAAUGAAUUUAGUAUGUAUUUGUAUGUAUUGUAUAAUAUGCUGUGUUGGUGAAUUAAAUGACGGACUUGGUUAUGCUAGUAUUAUCUAUAUGAAUAUUUAGUAGUUUAAAAAAAUAUUAUUACUUAAUAUUAAUUCAUUUUACUUUGGAAUAUAGUACUCACUAACAUGCAGUUCACACCCUGCAUAUAUUUUCCAUAUAAGUUUCUAGCUGCACAGAAGAACCAUUUUUGAUAUCGGGGAUCAGCUUGGAGAACUAGGUAGGGACCUUAGUUGUUUGAUAGGUAUUCUUUUUGUAUAGAAUGUAUUUGAAAAUGUUACGACCUAAAACUUUUGUCUAGUUGGUUUAGUGAUGUAGCUCUGCUGGAAUUAUAUUUAUAUAAAUAUAUAUGUGAGAGCUUGUUGGAUUAGUUAUA